rnacentral:rRNA from 1 species
UACGGAGGGUGCAAGCGUUAUCCGGAUUCACUGGGUUUAAAGGGCUCGUAGGCGGCCAACUAAGUCCGACGUGAAAUCCCAAGGCUUAACCUUGGAACUGCGUCGGAUACUGGAUGGCUUGAAUUCGGGAGAGGGAUGCAGAAUUCCAGGUGUAGCGGUGAAAUGCGUAGAUAUCUGGAGGAAUACCGGUGGCGAAGGCGGCAUCCUGGACCAACACUGACACUGAGGAGCGAAAGCCAGGGGAGCAAACGGG